rnacentral:rRNA from 1 species
AGAGUUUGAUCAUGGCUCAGGAUGAACGUUGGCGGCGUGCCUAACACAUGCAAGUCGAACGGAAAUAGCAAUAUUUGAGUGGCGCACGGGUGAGUAACACGUAGCUAAUCUACCUCAAAGCGCGGGAUAACGUGUCGAAAGACAGGCUAAUACCGCAUAAGCUCACGGAAAGCAGAGGACUGUGAGAAAAGGCGCAAGUC